rnacentral:lncRNA from 1 species
GAAGUAUGAUGGUCAUUUUCUAAAGCUGAACCUAUUAUUCCUAGAAAGGAGGCUGAGGUAUUAGAAAACGAGAGUGCUUCCUUUAUGCUGAGAAGAAAGGAGCCUCAGAUCCUGGAGACGGAAUUAUGCUCUCUGGCAGAUAGGCCAACUUCAUUCAUAACCUAGGAAACCGCACCACUUCCCAGGACCUACCGGUAGCAACCCACUCCCUGCAUUAUGGAAUUAUGGAUGGCCAAAUUACAGUAUUCCACUUGGAGAGUGAGUACUGGGAGCAGCUUGGGGAGGCACCGGUGUUCCUGGCCGCGGGCUGCAACUCACAGCCUCUGUACGCCGCUGCCUAACUGGGACAACAAAUCCCUGGAGAUGAAGAAGAAGCAGUGUCUGGUGUGCCCAGCAUAAACUCUGUGUGGACAUCCGUUCUCCACGUUUCCCUCUCCAGCAGCCCUCGAUUUCUGUUUGGGGAUCCGCACCAUACCUGAAAGGCUAAUUCCAU